GCGGACGUGGCGAAAUGGCAGACGCGCAAGCUUCAGGAGCUUGUGAGAGCAAUCUCGUGAGAGUUCGACUCUCUCCGUCCGCA
rnacentral:tRNA from 1 species